rnacentral:sRNA from 1 species
UUAUAUUCUCCACAGGGGGGAUGAGAACCCCCGACCGGGGUUCGACAACUGGCAACGCCAGUUGGACAGACCGCAAGCCUGCGAGCGGGCUGCCCCGCAGGGGCGAGCGAAGCGAGUCAAUCCCCCCUCACCGCCA